rnacentral:rRNA from 1 species
AUUGAACGCUGGCGGCAGGCCUAACACAUGCAAGUCGAGCGGAUGAAGGGAGCUUGCUCCUGGAUUCAGCGGCGGACGGGUGAGUAAUGCCUAGGAAUCUGCCUGGUAGUGGGGGAUAACGUCCGGAAACGGGCGCUAAUACCGCAUCCGUCCUGAGGUAGAAAGUGGGGGAUCUUCGGACCUCACGCUAACAGAUGAGCCUAGGUCGGAUUAGCUAGUUGGUGGGGUAAAGGCCUACCAAGGCGACGAUCCGUAACUGGUCUGAGAGGAUGAUCAGUCACACUGGAACUGAGACACGGUCCAGACUCCUACGGGAGGCAGCAGUGGGGAAUAUUGGACAAUGGGCGAAAGCCUGAUCCAGCCAUGCCGCGUGUGUGAAGAAGGUCUUCGGAUUGUAAAGCACUUUAAGUUGGGAGGAAGGGCAGUAAGUUAAUACCUUGCUGUUUUGACGUUACCAACAGAAUAAGCACCGGCUAACUUCGUG